AACGGCCAUACCAUGCUGAAUAUACCGGUUCUCGUUAGAUCACCGAAGUCAAGCCUCAUUGGGCGCGGUCAGUACCUUGGGUGGGUGACCACCUGGGAACACCGCGUGCCGUUG
rnacentral:rRNA from 1 species